rnacentral:rRNA from 1 species
UUUGAAUUUAAUUUAAAGUAGGGCCUGCCCACUGAAUAUUUGAAGGGCCGCAGUAUUUUGACUGUGCAAAGGUAGCAUAAUCAUUAGUUUUUUAAUUGAAAGCUUGUAUGAAUGGUUUGAUGAAAAAAUUUCUUUCUAUAUUUAAUUUAAUAAAAUUUUAUUUUUAAGUUAAAAAGCUUAAAUUUUUUUAAUAGACGAGAAGACCCUAUAGAGUUUAAUUUUUAAGAAAUUUUAAAAUAUUAAGUAUUUAAAUUUUUAAUUUUUUUAAAAAUUUGGUUGGGGUGACUGAAAAAUUAAAUUAACUUUUUUUUGAAUUGUUACAUUUAUUUAUGAAUAUAUGAUCCAAAUUAUUGAUUAUAAGAAUAAAUUACCUUAGGGAUAACAGCGUUAUUUUUUUUUAGAGUUCAAAUCGAAAAAAGAGAUUGCGACCUCGAUGUUGGAUUAAAGUUAAUAUUUGGUGUAGAAGCUAAAAUAUUUGGUCUGUUCGACCAUUAAAACUUUACA